UACGAAGGGGGCUAGCGUUGCUCGGAUUUACUGGGCGUAAAGGGCGCGUAGGCGGAUGUCUAAGUCGGGGGUGAAAGCCCAGGGCUCAACCCUGGAAUUGCCUUCGAUACUGGACGUCUUGAGUAUGGGAGAGGUGAGUGGAACUCCGAGUGUAGAGGUGAAAUUCGUAGAUAUUCGGAAGAACACCAGUGGCGAAGGCGACUCACUGGCCCAUUACUGACGCUGAGGCGCGAAAGCGUGGGGAGCAAACAGG
rnacentral:rRNA from 1 species